GACUCAGAUCCGUAAUUCCCAAUGUUGAGGGAAGAGUGUUAGGCACUGUACACGAACGUUCGAGUACUUUGAGGAGGAGAAUUGCUACCUGAGAGUGUGUUCUGAGUCGUAGCAGUGUGUAGCACAUUUUACAUCGGUGAGUACUCUGUCCGUAUCAUCUACAGCGAGUGCGUGCCCAUGACAAUGCAGACUUCUUUCCUAGAGAGAAUUUAUGCCUAAGGGUGCAACAACAUUAGCUUUUAACUACUUUUGACCUGUACUUUCCAUGUGUGAAUCAUUGGCUACAACUUCUGAAACACCCUGUAUAUUUGACAAGAUAUGCACUCAGCGUGCUAUUCAGUAACAAAAGUUAAGUGUCUUGUUGCCAUUUUGGUCACUGUAGAUUGAGAACUUUAACAUCUGGAUAAGGAUUGGAUUGAGAAUUGCUCACUUCUUCAAAGGAGUUAUCUCACCAUUAACUCUAAAUUAUCUAGGAAAAGUUAAGAGCACUGUAGCUGGUUCACUUUUCAAAACUCUUGGUUUACCUCACCUGGCAUAUCCUUUCGUGGAGUAAAUGUUAUUGUAUUAGAGGAAGGCAAACUCGUAAGAGAUUAGCUGCCGCCGAAGUCUGUUCUUGAGCUCAGUAUUUGAUCUGAACAUUCAAUUGUGCAGCAAAUGUAAUUUGCUGAUAACGUUAGUUAAAGAGAGACAGAGUAUUUCUGUAGUAAUGGGUUACUACUCAUUUGUUUUGGAAGUGGAGGCUGUGUAGCUAUUGUAUUCACACCCUCAGUAUUUUGUUUAGUUUCUGUUAGGAGUUUGGAGGAAUAUUUUAGAUUACAAUUUUUAAACUUUUAAGAUGCUUUACCAAGUCCAUACCUGCUGUCUUAAUUUUGUUUUGUACUGAUGUUUCGCUCAGACAAAAACAUUUGUGGACCUUUUUAAUUGUAUCUCACUGCAAAAAUUAAAAUACUCUUUUACUAGUGAGCAAAUCCUUCGCAGGAUAAAGCCAGCAUACGACAAGAAAUGUGGGUCGAAUAAUGACGAGCAUCAGGCACUGUCAUAACAAUACAGACUCGGUGAUAUUUGCAUCUUAAAAUCUGAGCAAUCUUCUCUUGCUUGCAACACUAACUUAGAUCUGUUGUUAAUGAGGUUUGUGGGACAGUCUCAACCCAAGCCACUCGAUCACGUAACGGCUAAUUGUAAAGCGAGAGGGACAUCUAAACUGUCGUGAGGAAUUUUUAUAGACAGCAAAAUGAGUCGAACUCGAGAUGCACAUUUACAAUCUCACACCCUGACACACCACUAGAGAAGACAAAACAAAAUGGUACGGCACAACAAUUAGAUAGUGUAUUGUGCAAUAAUUUGUUUUCGGCAACACCAGAAAUGUUCCGGCCUUGCCAGGCCGAUCCAGAGAACUAAAGAAGUCAUUUGGGUCGGCCUUACAGAGUUGCCACAUUUCUGCUACUGCCAAAAACGAAUUUGGCACAAUACACCACUUUAUCGACAGACUGUACCAUUGCGCUUUGGUUCCUCUAGGGGUUGUACUGUGGGGUGGGGAUUUCGACACGUACCGGGACUGCGCGGACACUGCCGGCAUGGGAUUGCAAGAGAAAGCUGUUCAUUUCCAUUGGUCCCGAAGCCACAAAAGGACACGAAAUAUAACUGACGUUCAGAUAACUCAAAACUCACAGUAAGUAAUGCACAAAAAAAUGUGGUUGCUGCAGAGAUAAUUUUCCUGGUGUGACAUCUUUUAUAUCUGUAAUUCAUAAUCAAUUAGUGUGACAAAGAAAUCUACUCCAUUUUGUUUCCGUUAGUUUCUAAAUACCAAAGAGCACUGAACUGAAACGUUAUCUCCACAUGUUUGCAAAAAAAGCAGCUUCUUAUAAUUGCUGAACUGAAAUCUGAACUGCUUUUUUGACUUUCUUUUUCAUACAAUUUACAUCAAGCAAUCCCAUUCCUGAACUGAAAAAUAUUGUCAUGUAUUGCAUUCUGUUCUACAGGUCUUUUUUUUAAUUUUAUGCACUGAUUAGGUUCUGAACAAUUCGUGCACACAUUAAUUCAAAUGAACUAGUCUUGUUGUGUGCAUUUGAGAGGCAUAUAAAAUAACAGAAAAAUGUAGAUUGUCAAUUCCUUGUCUUUAAGGAUGGUGAUGUUUUGAACAGCAAAAGUACCAUGAUUUUUACAAGAUAAAUUGAUGAAACUCAGGAAUUCAACUAAAAACAGAUAUGAGCAUUUUCGUGCAUUGUUUUACUGUGAACAGUGGAUUUCCAAUUCCAAUAUCUGAUCACAAAUGUUAAAGCUGUAAAACAGAAAUGCACACUGUAUAUUGUACAUAAACAAGUGACCAAGUGAUUUGGAAAAUAUUUUUAAUGUGAAUAGUCACUGUCUCUUGUUCUGUUAAGAGUAGUCUUUUCUUGUACAGGAAGAGAAAUAGCUCAAAUUAAGACUUUGUUAUUCUUAGCUGAGAAGGUGAAUGCUGAAGCAAAUGUGACAGCAGUAUUGUACUUUAUUGCAAAAAUUUGCAACAUAAUAGAAUAUUUAUGGCUGAAACUUUUCUCAAAAUUCAACACAGGCAUCUUCUCAUUAUGCACAAUUCACACCCUGAUUUCUGAUGCAUAACUUUAGCCUGUAACCUGAUGUCGUGGAGAAGUAUGAAGACCACAAUGCAAUCUUUGCUAGUGCUAUUCAGUACUGUUGUAGCUAAGGGUUGACUCCUGGCUGUGCCUAUGUGUAGAAAUUCUUGGAGAGAAAUAUUUAGAUUCCUAUCUCCUAUAAAAAUAAAUAGUCUGUCAUGAGACUAUAUCCUGUUAGAACUACAGUGUUUUCCUGGCAAAGUUGGUCAACAUAGUAGGGAACUAUAUGUUGAAAACAGCAUAUAAUGUAUGAGGGUGCCCUUUAAGUCGCCAAAUUAUAUCAUAAAGAUAACACGGUGGAUUUAAUCUUACAAGAGACUAUAUUUAUAGGAACUGGGAAUCUAAAUGUUUCUCUGCUAAACUUUGGACUGUGGGCGUUAUCUCAAGUUUGCACAAUGAUUUUAGUGCAGUGGCAUUACUGGUGACCACCUUCAGCAGCUGUUAAGUGUAAAAUGUAACAUUUUAUUUAAGUUCAAUUACUGUUGUCAAGUGUAUGUAUCGCUAUAUCCCUACUGAUAAUGUGGGAGGCCUAAGAGUGAUGGGAAAUAUUAGUGAAUGGUAUCACAUUCUACAUCACACUGUGUGUUCUUAUGUUUUUGUGAUCUUCCCUCCAUGUUUUAUCCA